CAGUGCGGCGACUGCAUGAUGAAAGCAGCCCUCAAAACAGCAUCGGUAAAAACAGAUAUCUUCACAUACACGCAGUUCGCGAGAAGGACUCCUUUCGGCUACGGCCAGGCGUCUCCAUUGCCCACCACCCACUGACUAACUGACGGUUCGGCGUUUCGAGUUCGGGUUUCUGCGACAGUUCACAACCGCCGCACCACUCUAGCGAGAAGUGGCCAAAUAUGCGUGCUUUCUCUCGUGCUCUAGACCAUACAGAGGAUUACAGGGGCGCCAAAUAGUAUUUUUAUGCGUUCGAAAUACUUAGCAUAGUGUACUUGAAUCUGAGAGUGCCAUAUACGAAAUUCUUUAAGUUCCCAAAUUGGCAUCACUGUUAUUAACCACUAAAAAGGUAUAGCACACAUACCAUCAUUCACAUUGUCGCCACCGAUUCACAAUCACAACGGAACGAAGCGGCUAAGUGAUCCUUCGGAAGUGCCGCUGGCAAACGCUACUACUCUAAUCUGCUCCCAGUUGUUCUAUAGUUGGAGUUUUAUUAUGCUGUUUUGAUGUUUAUUUUUAUUUUGCUUCAUUAAUAUUUGGUCGGCUAUGUAUGUAUGGAACGUGGAGCCGCGCGCGCUGCUGGUGCUGAAAUAUUUUAGGCCUUUUUAUAUUCUUCUAUUUUUGCACAUAUAAAUAAAUCGUCUCGCGUUUUAGCCUAGAUCUAAACGAAUUUUAACUAGUUAUCGUGGACCAUUACCACACGCUCUAGCUGACAAACAUCUGUAUUGAUUUUGAGCACUUGACAAUAAACAACUCUUCGGCGAAAUUACGCUUAUGAUCAAUUACCGAACCGAAUCACAAUCACCAAUCGCGA